CACUGACGGUGUUGUUACACACACCCGCGCUCCUUGGGGCUUCUUCCCAGGGGAGAAGAGCCUUCGUCCCCGCCGGGGACGAGGCCGCCGCUCGGGGGAUGAGCGCCCGAUGCGGUCCUGUUCGGAUGAUCGCGCGGGAGGAUCCGUCCUCCUGCGCGUACCGAAGGAUAGUGGCUUUUUGCAAAACGAAUAUCGUGAACCGUCUUGUCGAAGAAAAACGUGAUGGAGAACUUCGGUAUCCAUCGACACCGCACACGACUCCGGGCGGUGGAUCACUCGGCUCGCAGAUCGAGGAAGGACGGAGCCAACUCCGUGAAACACGGCGAAUUGCAGGGCGCCAAGAAACCGCCACAGUUUGAACGCAUAUUGCGGCCUUGGCAGCGAUGUCGAGGCCACGCCUGUUCGAGGGUCUGAUCACAUCUUGCCCGUCUCGGACGUGUUCUCUCGUCCGGGCAUCGGACUUCGCGUCGCACGUCGUCGCCGCCGCCGUCUUCUCGGCGCGCAGCGACGACGAAGGUCGCGUGGUCCCGAGAUCGGAACGGAAGCCGAGGGGAGACGGACAGUCGCACGCCGACGCCCGGUGAGCCGUUGCCGUUUGGCUGCUGNCUCCCGGCCGCCGUGGGCCGUGACGCCGAGAUUCCCUCCCGGCCGGCGGAAUGCUUUCGCGCUGGGAAGUGGAGCGACUCGGCGGGUGGGUCCCGCGACGGAAGUCGGAACGGCGACAGUUCGUCGACACACACCUCUCGUGUCCUUCUUUCUUUCUUUCUGUCGGACCUCGGAUCAGGCGGGAUUACCCGCUAAAUUUAA
rnacentral:rRNA from 1 species